rnacentral:antisense_RNA from 1 species
CGCGAACCCCAAAUUCUCACACGCACCCCAUGACGUUCCGCCGGCUCCCAGGCCCGACUGGGGGAACUAAACUUUCAUCCUCCAUCUCCCGGUCCCGGACGGCCCCCUAGAACGCGGGCAAGGUAUCUAGGCCGACGGCCCCUCACAGGGACCCAGGCCUUCUUACUCUUUCGGGGACACAUUCAAGGCUUAGAGGCCACCCCAGGCACCAUCUCCGGGAGAGUGACGUCGGAGGACGAGGGGGCAACGCAAAAGUCAAAAAGAGCUCUGAUGGAUUUGUUGACUCCUCGGUGGGAGAAAGGCUCGGCCUACUGCAGGUGUUAACGCUAGGCCAGGCUGGAGCUGUGGACGUCAGUUUCUCAGCUCCCCGCUGUUCACUUCGAACGUGACGUGACCUCGAGGUCUGCUCUCCCCUUCCCUUUAGCUGACAAUGUGUCAGUGCUUGAAUAAGUCAGUCUGACA